rnacentral:rRNA from 1 species
GGCGGACGGGUGCGUAACGCGUAAGAACCUACCUUUUGGAGGGGGAUAACACUGGGAAACCGUUGCUAAUACCCCAUAUCGCUGAGGAGUGAAACAUGUAAUACAUGGCCAGGAGAGGGGCUUGCGUCUGAUUAGCUAGUUGGUGGGGGUAAAGGCCUCCCAAGGCCACGAUCAGUAGCUGGUCUGAGAGGAUGAUCAGCCACACUGGAACUGAGAACGGUCCAGACUCCUACGGGAGGCAGCAGUGAGGAAUUUUCCGCAAUGGACGAAAGUCUGACGGAGCAAUGCCGCGUGAAGGAUGAAGGUCUGUGGAUCGUAAACUUCUUUUCUCAGAGAGGAAAAAAAUGACGGUAUCUGAGGAAUAAGCUCCGGCUAACCCUGUGCCAGCAGCCGCGGUAAUACAGGGGGAGCAAGCGUUAUCCGGAAUGAUUGGGCGUAAAGCGUCUGUAGGUCGCUUAUGAAGUCUAUUGUUAAAUUCCGGGGCUCAACCUCGGGCAGGCAAUAGAGUACUCAUAUGCUAGAGUGUGGGAGAGGUAGAGGGAAUUCCUCAUGGAGCGGUGAAAUGCGUAGAGAUGAGGAGGAACACCGGAGGCGAAGGCGCUCUACUGGACCAAGAC